UAAUGGGUCAGCGACUUAUAUUCAGUGGCAAGGUUAACCAUCUAGGGGAGCCGUAGGGAAACCGAGUCUUAACUGGGCGUUCAGUCUCUGGAUAUAGACCCGAAACCAGGUGAUCUAGCCAUGGGCAGGUUGAAGGUUGAGUAACAUCAACUGGAGGACCGAACCGACUAAUGUUGAAAAAUUAGCGGAUGACUUGUGGCUAGGGGUGAAAGGCCAAUCAAACCUGGAGAUAGCUGGUUCUCCCCGAAAGCUAUUUAGGUAGCGCCUCGGACGAAUACUACUGGGGGUAGAGCACUGUUAAGGCUAGGGGGUCAUCCCGACUUACCAACCCUUUGCAAACUCCGAAUACCAGUAAGUACUAUCCGGGAGACACACGGCGGGUGCUAACGUCCGUCGUGGAGAGGGAAACAACCCAGACCGCCAGCUAAGGUCCCAAAUUACUACUAAGUGGGAAACGAUGUGGGAAGGCUCAGACAGCCAGGAUGUUGGCUUAGAAGCAGCCAUCAUUUAAAGAAAGCGUAAUAGCUCACUGGUCGAGUCGGCCUGCGCGGAAGAUGUAACGGGGCUAAGUAGUAAACCGAAGCUGCGGCAAUAUACUUUUGUAUAUUGGGUAGGGGAGCGUUCUGUAAGCGGUUGAAGGUGUGUGGUAACGCAUGCUGGACGUAUCAGAAGUGCGAAUGCUGACAUGAGUAACGAUAAAGGGGGUGAAAAACCUCCUCGCCGGAAGACCAAGGGUUCCUGUCCAACGUUAAUCGGGGCAGGGUAAGUCGACCCCUAAGGCGAGGCCGAAAGGCGUAGUCGAUGGGAAACGGGUUAAUAUUCCCGUACUUCUUACAAUUGCGAUGGGGGGACGGAGAAGGCUAGGUGGGCCUGGCGACGGUUGUCCAGGUUCAAGUGCGUAGGCUUAAGAGUUAGGUAAAUCCGGCUCUUUCUAAGGCUGAGACACGACGUCGAGCACCUACGGGUGUGAAGUCAUUGAUGCCAUGCUUCCAGGAAAAGCCUCUAAGCUUCAGAUUGUAAGGAAUCGUACCCCAAACCGACACAGGUGGUCGGGUAGAGAAUACCAAGGCGCUUGAGAGAACUCGGGUGAAGGAACUAGGCAAAAUGGUACCGUAACUUCGGGAGAAGGUACGCUCUUGAUGGUGAAGUCCCUUGCGGAUGGAGCUGACGAGAGUCGCAGAUACCAGGUGGCUGCAACUGUUUAUUAAAAACACAGCACUGUGCAAAAUCGUAAGAUGACGUAUACGGUGUGACGCCUGCCCGGUGCCGGAAGGUUAAUUGAUGGGGUUAGACUUCGGUCGAAGCUCUUGAUCGAAGCCCCGGUAAACGGCGGCCGUAACUAUAACGGUCCUAAGGUAGCGAAAUUCCUUGUCGGGUAAGUUCCGACCUGCACGAAUGGCGUAAUGAUGGCCACGCUGUCUCCACCCGAGACUCAGUGAAAUUGAAAUCGCUGUGAAGAUGCAGUGUACCCGCGGCUAGACGGAAAGACCCCGUGAACCUUUACUACAGCUUGGCACUGAACAUUGACCCUACAUGUGUAGGAUAGGUGGGAGGCUUUGAAGCACGUACGCCAGUAUGUGUGGAGCCGUCCUUGAAAUACCACCCUUGUAGUGUUGAUGUUCUAACGUCGACCCCUUAUCGGGGUUGCGGACAGUGCCUGGUGGGUAGUUUGACUGGGGCGGUCUCCUCCCAAAGAGUAACGGAGGAGCACGAAGGUGGGCUAAUCACGGUUGGACAUCGUGAGGUUAGUGCAAUGGCAUAAGCCCGCUUGACUGCGAGAAUGACAAUUCGAGCAGGUGCGAAAGCAGGUCAUAGUGAUCCGGUGGUUCUGAAUGGAAGGGCCAUCGCUCAACGGAUAAAAGGUACUCCGGGGAUAACAGGCUGAUACCGCCCAAGAGUUCAUAUCGACGGCGGUGUUUGGCACCUCGAUGUCGGCUCAUCACAUCCUGGGGCUGAAGUCGGUCCCAAGGGUAUGGCUGUUCGCCAUUUAAAGUGGUACGCGAGCUGGGUUUAGAACGUCGUGAGACAGUUCGGUCCCUAUCUGCCGUGGGCGUUGGAAGAUUGAAGGGGGCUGCUCCUAGUACGAGAGGACCGGAGUGGACGAACCUCUGGUGUUCGGGUUGUGUCGCCAGACGCAUUGCCCGGUAGCUAAGUUCGGAAUCGAUAACCGCUGAAAGCAUCUAAGCGGGAAGCGAGCCCUGAGAUGAGUCUUCCCUGAUACUUUAAGUAUCCUAAAGGGUUGUCGGAGACUACGACGUUGAUAGGUCAGGUGUGUAAGUGCUGUGAGGCAUUGAGCUAACUGAUACUAAUUGCCCGUGAGGCUUAACCAUACAACACCCAAGGGGUUU
rnacentral:rRNA from 1 species